GGACGACGCUGGCGGCGUGCCUAACACAUGCAAGUCGAGCGGAGUCGGUAAGAGGAAGUUUCGGAUGGAAUCUUAUUGAUUUAGCGGCGGACGGGUGAGUAACGCGUGAGCGACCAACCUUGCACAGGGGGAUAACGGACCGAAAGGUUCACUAAUACCGCAUGAGACCACGGUGUUGCAUGACACAGAGGUCAAAGGAGCAAUCCGGUGCAAGACGGGCUCGCGUCCGAUUAGGUAGUUGAGGGGUAACGGCCCACCAAGCCUAUGAUCGGUAGCCGACCUGAGAGGGUGAUCGGCCACAUUGGAACUGAGAUACGGUCCAAACUCCUACGGGAGGCAGCAGUGGGGAAUAUUGGGCCAAUGGGGGAAACCCUGACCCAGCAACGCCGCGUGAAGGAAGAAGGUUUUCGGAUUGUAAACUUCUGUCCUUGGUGAAGAGAAGAAGACGGUAGCCAAGGAGGAAGCCCCGGCUAACUACGUGCCAGCCGCCGC
rnacentral:rRNA from 1 species